rnacentral:lncRNA from 12 species
AUGCUUUGGAAGUGGAGCGCCCCAGAUGUGGAGUGUACAGGACCUUCCCCAUCCAGUCCAGCCCUUAUGGAUGGGGAGACUGAAGACAGGGCCUUAGAGGUCUCCUUGUCUGGGCCCCCGGAGAGGAGGCUGUGGAUUCCCUCAGUUCCUGCUGAAAUUCACUGGCUGAGCUGGGACUCAGAUGUGGGCUUCCUGGCCCCUGGUCCCGGCCUCUUGCUACCCAACCCAGCUCCGUCUCCACUGAAGAUGGAGGAGGGAGGAAGUACUGCCGGAGAACAACCAGGCAUGGUGAUGUGGUGAGAUCACCAGGAGAAGCGUCUAAAGGCAACGGAGUCUGGAGAGGCCUAGGCCAAGGCCCUCAUUGGAGACAGGGCACUGCCCUGGGAGCAGUCAGAGGUGGGUGGAACAUCAUGGAAGGGUCCAGGGGCAAGCUGCCAAGGUCUCGCUGGGCAGCAUUUUCAGGCUGGCAGGCUUGAGGAGGGCCUCUUGGAGCAGAGCGUGUGGUGAGCCAUCCACCCUUGGGGGUCUUGGGAGAGAGGCAUAAGUAGCAGCUAAGAAUAGGAAGACUGAGAGACUUCCUGCAGGAGCAUCCUAGAGCCGAUGCUGUGGGUGAAGACGGAGGGUGGGCAAGGCCAGUGGCUCACCUGGGCCCACCUGGGUUUGCCCACCUCCAACCCAAAGGGGAAGGAGAAGGCAAGGAAAGAAGCCAGAGACCCAGCCUGAGGUUCUAAAAGAAGUCCAAUCAGGUGGCCUGGAUUCCACUCCAUGCCGGCUCCUUGGCACGUUAUCAACAUCUUCCUCUUACUCAGGACUAAGUUGUUUUUGUACAUGAUCAUCUGCAUUAUCCCCAUUUUAUGAAUGAGACUCAGAGACUUUAAGGAACUUUGCUAGGGUCACAGUUAAAAAGAGGCAAAGUCAGCAUUUGAAGCCAGCUUCUUAACCACAUGGGGCUCCCGUCUUGGGCUCUCUUUGUGACUUUGAGCAAGCAAGGCUCCCUGAGUCUCAGACUCUACCUGUAAAAUGAUGGGGCCUACAUAAAUGAACCCCUCAGGCCACUGUGGCGCUUGAUGGGGGCCCCAAUAUUGCUUCUCUUGGACUGGGGCUCAGGACCCUGAAAGAGGGGCUGCAGACUCGUUCUGGAACUGUGUUCUCCCCCAGCCUGGGAGAGUGGUUAGGGGUGCGGGCUCAGCUAGGCCACUCCUCUCCGCUGCCUCUGCUGAGGGUGGAUGUGAGGGUAGGAUGAGUCAGUGCAGAUAACGUGCCUUGUAGAGGGCCUGCACACAGUAGGCACUCAAUAAAUGUAGCUCUUGAUGUUUUGUCA